GGGGAGCUGGCGCAGCGGUAGCGCGUCAGAUUCCAGAUUAAGCAUAGAGAUAUCUGAAGGGUCCUGGUAAAUCCGGUGUUCCUCA
rnacentral:tRNA from 1 species